CUUUUGUGAUGUGAUUGUGCCACCGCAAACUCAAUAUUGUUCAGGGGGCCUUUAUAACUCUCAGCUACAUGGUAGCAGGGCAGCACACAUUUUCAUUUUUACCUUUUUAGACUUUUAUUCUUUGUGCUGAAGCUGAAACUAUGUGUGCUUACGUACACGCUGUAGUGCUUGCUCUGUGAAGCGGUAACUCAUAAGCAAGGAGAACAUUGUCAGGUGGGUUUUUUUUUUCUUUUUCUGAAAUUGUCAAUUUUAUUGUUGAUCUUUUUCAUUAUGUUCCAUUAGGUACUCUACUGUGUUAUUGAAAAAGCACCACUAUUGGGAAAAGCUCCGUUCAAAUAUCUAUCCAAGUUUCUAGUUUGAAAUGUUUUCUAAGGGUACGAAAUCGUCCUAUUAAAGGAGAUUCUCCGGAGGACCCCAGUCCUACCUUGAAAUGGAUAAAUGUGAUUUCCCCUGGUGGCAGAUCACAUGUAGAAGAACUAUGUGAUCAGAGGUCUACUUCUCAGAAGAAGACAGAUAAGAACAGACUCCUGGACUUCAUUACCAGACUUCAGUUCAGGCAAAUAUCUGCAGAGCCUGCACAGGGAUGAAGGCCAAAGAGGGUUUGCUAAUGAUGGUGGUCCAAAAGUCCUUAAUGGCAGAGAGGAUGGAGUUGAAGAAG
rnacentral:lncRNA from 1 species